AGCUCCAAUAGCGUAUAUUAAAGUUGUUGCAGUUAAAAAGCUCGUAGUUGGAUUUCUGGCAGGAGCGACCGGUCACACACUCUGUGUGUGAACUUGUGUUGUCUCUGGCCAUCCUUGGGGAGAUCCUGUUUGGCAUUAAGUUGUCGGGCAGGGGACAUCCAUCGUUUACUGUGAAAAAAUUAGAGUGUUUAAAGCAGGCUUAUGCCGUUGAAUAUAUUAGCAUGGAAUAAUAAGAUAGGACUUCGGAACUAUUUUGUUGGUUUGCGUUACGAAGUAAUGAUUAAUAGGGACAGUUGGGGGUAUUCGUAUUUCGGUGUCAGAGGUGAAAUUCUUGGAUUUCCGAAAGACGAACUACUGCGAAAGCAUUUACCAAGGAUGUUU
rnacentral:rRNA from 1 species